UAGUCGGGAGCGCUGAGACAUCGGUGCGUUGGACGAUUGUUCCACUCGGCUU
rfam:Cupriavidus sp. HPC(L) contig99, whole genome shotgun sequence.